rnacentral:lncRNA from 1 species
UUAAACUUGAGUUAGCAAUAUUAUAAGCAAAUUGGUGUUUUUUUUUUUUUUAAAGAAACCUACAGUAGAUUUUAUUUAAAACUGAAUAUUUAACGGUUUAUUGGGUAAGCCUAAAGGCUUGAAAUUACACGUCUAUGAAUUUAGGCCUAGCGUUUUUGACACCUUGGAUCCUAUUCUCCUUCCUUUGCUAUUUUUUAACUUACUGCAACAGAUGAGGGGGCUCUUAAACCAUCUGUUAACCUUUCUUUCUCCUUUUUUUAACCGUGUAGAGUCGCUCAAGGCAAGAAGACCCAGUGCCAGCAAGACUGAAACAAAAAAGCAAAAGAGCUUUUAAGAGCAAGCCUUCUGACUCAGAACCUGCUCCCGGACCUCCCCGUGGUCUCCCUGGACCAGUGCUGUGACUCUGGGGGAACGCCAGGGAAGGAAGAGAGGAAAACCUCGUUAUUGAUGCUAAAUGAUACCCUCUCAAACAGGAGAAUUCUUCUCAUCUUCUGUUUUCUGUGAAGCAAGGAUAAUAAGAAGCUUCAAAUUGAAACAUGUUUUAUUUUUCAAAACUUAAAGAGCUUAAGGUAAUUUAUACACGCACUUUUAAAAAUUUUAAGAAGUACUGAAAGGCUUGUAGUGAAAAGCUCAUCUUCCACUCCUCAGAGCGAUCACUUUGUAAAAUGAAAUUUUUAUUGAGGUAAAAUUUACAUAUGGUGAAAUACGUACACAGACUUUAAGUCUUCAAGCCAAGUGGUUUUGAUAAAAAUUGGUGCAGUGGUGUAACUACCACCACGUUCAAGAUACAGAUCAUUUCUAUCACCCCUGAAAAUACCUUCAUGCCCUUUGGUCAUGCUAUACAGGAAAGCAAAAGUAAUUCACCAGAAUGACCAUGAAAAUGAC